AAUAGCAUAGCUAGAACCAGAGCUCAAUAUUGCCAGCUGCUAUAUAACAGGAUAUCGUUAAAACGAAAAAUGUUGUACCAUCGCCGGCUUGCCGGCAUAUGUGGUAAUAUAAUUCAGGUGGGACUCUUCGUCCCCCCGGUGACCCGUCAAAAAAAAACGAAAAAAAUGAAUGCUUGAGCUCGAAAGAAAAAAAAACUAUAGAAGUC
rnacentral:lncRNA from 1 species